GAUGAACGCUGGCGGCGUGCCUAAUACAUGCAAGUCGAGCGAACAGACGAGGAGCUUGCUCCCCUGAUGUUAGCGGCGGACGGGUGAGUAACACGUGGAUAACCUACCUAUAAUACUGGGAUAACUUCGGGAAACCGGAGCUAAUACCGGAUAACAUGUUGAACGGCAUGGUUCAACAGUGAAUGACGGUCUUGCUGUCACUUAUAGAUGGAUCCGCGCCGCAUUAGCUAGUUGGUAAGGUAACGGCUUACCAAGGCAACGAUGCGUAGCCGACCUGAGAGGAGGGAUCGCCCACACUGAACCUGGAAACGGGUCCAGCCUCCUACGGGAGGCGGAGGGGGGAAAUUUGCCCCAAGGGGCGAAAGCCUGACGGAGCAACGCGGGGGGGGGGAAGAAGGUCUCCGGUUCGUAAAACUCUGUGAUGAGGAAGAAAAAAAUGUGGAAGUAACUAUGCACGUCUGGACGGUACCAAAUCAGAAGGCCACGGCUAACUACGG
rnacentral:rRNA from 1 species